rnacentral:rRNA from 1 species
UACGUAGGUGGCAAGCGUUAUUCGGAAUUAUUGGGCGUAAAGGGCGCGUAGGCGGCUCAAGCAGCGUGUGGUGAAAGCUCGGGGCUCAACCCCGAGUCGGCCGUGCGAACUCUUGGGCUGGAGUGCUGUAGAGGCGGGCGGAAUUCCGGGUGUAGCGGUGGAAUGCGUAGAGAUCCGGAAGAACACCGGUGGCGAAGGCGGCCCGCUGGGCAGUGACUGACGCUGAGGCGCGACAGCGUGGGGAGCAAACAGG